CCUACGGGAGGCAGCAGUGAGGAAUAUUGCUCAAUGGACGAGACUCUGAACCAGCAACGUAGCGUGAAGGAUGACUGCCCUCUGGGUUGUAAACUUCUUUUAUAAAGGAAUAAAACGAGGCACGUGUGCCUUUUUGCAUGUACUUUAUGAAUAAAGAUCGGCUAACUCCGUGCCAGCAGCCGCGGUAAUACGGAGGAUCCGAGCGUUAUCCGGGUUUAUUGGGUUUAAAGUGAGCGUAGAUGGGUUGUUAAGUCAGUUGUGAAAGUUUGCGGCUCAACCGUAAAACUGCAAUUGAUACUGGCAGUCUUGAGUACAGUUGAGGUAGGCGGAAUUCGUGGUGUAGCGGUGAAAUGCUUAGAUAUCACGAAGAACCCCGAUUGCGAAGGCAGCUUACUAAACUGUGACUGACAUUGAUGCUCGAAAGUGUGGGGAUCAAACAGGAUUAGAUACCCUAGUAGUC
rnacentral:rRNA from 1 species